GCGGAGGGAUCAUUACAAGUUGACCCCGGCCCUCGGGCCGGGAUGUUCACAACCCUUUGUUGUCCGACUCUGUUGCCUCCGGGGCGACCCUGCCUCCGGGCGGGGGCCCCGGGUGGACAUUUCAAACUCUUGCGUAACUUUGCAGUCUGAGUAAAUUUAAUUAAUGAAUUAAAACUUUCAACAACGGAUCUCUUGGUUCUGGCA
rnacentral:misc_RNA from 1 species